rnacentral:rRNA from 1 species
AGAGUUUGAUCAUGGCUCAGCCCGUAAAAUGGCGGCGUGCUUAACACAUGCAAGUCGAACGCCCUCAUAUUGAAACCUAGUGAUGUAUGAGUUAGUGGCGGACGGGUGAGUAACGCGUGGAGAACCUGCCGUAUACUGCGGGAUAACACUUAGAAAUAGGUGCUAAUACCGCAUAAGCGCACAGCUUCGCAUGAAGCAGUGUGAAAAACUCCGGUGGUAUACGAUGGAUCCGCGUCUGAUUAGCUGGUUGGCGGGGUAAAGGCCCACCAAGGCGACGAUCAGUAGCCGGCCUGAGAGGGUGAACGGCCACAUUGGGACUGAGACACGGCCCAAACUCCUACGGGAGGCAGCAGUGGGGAAUAUUGCUUAAUGGGGGAAACCCUGAUGCAGCGACGCCGCGUGAGUGAAGAAGUAUUUCGGUACGUAAAGCUCUAUCAGCAGGGAAGAAAUAAAGUCCUUUGGACUUUGGACGGUACCUGACUAAGAAGCCCCGGCUAACUACGUGCCAGCAGCCGCGGUAAUACGUAGGGGGCAAGCGUUAUCCGGAUUUACUGGGUGUAAAGGGAGCGUAGACGGCAGCGCAAGUCUGGAGUGAAAUCCCAUGGCUUAACCAUGGAACUGCUUUGGAAACUGUGCAGCUGGAGUGCAGGAGAGGUAAGCGGAAUUCCUACUGUAGCGGUGAAAUGCGUAUAUAUUGGGAGGAACACCAUUGGCGAAGGCGGCCUGCUGGACAUUAACUGACGCUGAGGCGCGAAAGCGUGGGGAGCAAACCGGAUUAUAUACCCUGGUAGUCCACGCCCGUAACGAUGGAUACUAGGUGUGGGAGGUAUUGACCCCUUUCCGGCCCCAUUUAACCCAAUAAUUACCCCCCCUGGGGAGUACGGCCCUAAGGUUG